rnacentral:rRNA from 1 species
UGUAAGCGUAUACCAAAGUUGUUGCAGUUAAAACGCUCGUAGUCGGAUUUUGGCGGUUCCGGAAGUGUGCCGCGACGAGCGGCCGCUUUGCAGGGACUGCUUUUGUGGGUGUGCGUCAGAUGAGGGCUGUUAAUUCGGUAACGUCUGUACGCAACCACUUUUUACUGUGAGAAAAUCAGAGUGCUCAAAGCAGGCAUUUGCCGUGAAUGUAUUAGCAUGGAAUAAUAGAAUAGGACUUAGUCUUAUUUUGUUGGUUUGUUGGGACUGAGUAAUGAUUAAGAGGGACAGUUGGGGGCAUUUGUAUUUCGGUGCUAGAGGUGAAAUUCUUAGAUUACCGAAAGACAAACUGCUGCGAAAGCGUCUGCCAAGGAUGUUUUCAUUGA